GGGGGCGACCUGGAUUCGACGCGGGUCGCGAAACCUGAGGUGCAUGCCGAGGAUGUAGUGAGCCUCGUAAAAAUCACUGCAAAAAAAUAGUUGCCAACGACGACAACUACGCACUCGCCGCUUAAAACCCGGUAGGGUGCCGUCCGACUGGAGCCGUGCUUGUGCGUCCAGUAUCGGGCGUCGACUCUCACAAGCUCGCGGUGAAGCGUGCCCGGCGCGGAUCCGUUAAAACUCAACCGGGAUCGCCAGACGUCUUCCCUGCCUGUCGGGUAGCGGCUGGUUAAACGCAAAGACAGGAUAAGCAUGUAGAGCCGAGGGCGGAGGGCCUGCGGACGCGGGUUCGAUUCCCGCCGCCUCCACCA
rnacentral:tmRNA from 2 species